CUGACACAGGGAGGUAGUGACAAGAAAUAACAAUACAGGGCUAAUGUCUUGUAAUUGGAAUGAUGGUGACCCAAACCCUCACCAGAGUAGCAAUUGGAGGGCAAGUCUGGUGCCAGCAGCCGCGGUAAUUCCAGCUCCAAUAGCGUAUAUUAAACUUGUUGCAGUUAAAAAGCUCGUAGUUGAAUUUUAGCGUGUUCGAGUUUGCCAUUCGUUUGGCUUUUUCGAGUUCGCUUUUGGGUUUUCCCUUUUUACUUUGAGAAAAUUAGAGUGUUUCAAGCAGACUUUUGUCUUGAAUACUUCAGCAUGGAAUAAUAGAGUAGGACUUUGGUUCUAUUUUGUUGGUUAUUGAACCUUAGUAAUGGUUAAUAGGAACGGUUGGGGGCAUUCGUAUUUAAA
rnacentral:rRNA from 1 species